rnacentral:lncRNA from 1 species
CAGAGGCUUCUGAGGAGCGGGAAGGGACGUUGAGAGCAUUGUGACACUGUCACGCAGUCAUGAUGUCACUGGGGUGAAGCAUUCCAGUCUGUGACCUGAUGACACUCGGGGUGCCAGAGGAGGUCCAGUCUCCACAAGCCAGUCUGCCUUUGGAGUGCUGGGGUUGUCCGUGUGUGCACUGCAUUCAGGGUCAGUCUGGAUCAAACUUCUCACUUAUCCCCGAGGCUGGAGCCUCUGGAGUCUCUCAGGGGUCCUCAGGGAACUCUUCAGAGUUUCUAAACUGUCAUCCAGGUCUGAAGUCAUGUGUCACCUCCUCCGACAGCUCAGCUCAGUAGUGACUCUCUUCUGGACACCUUGGGUCUUGGCUCUUCUGUCGCCCUUCGGAUCUCAUUACCUCAGACUGGAGAUGCUCCUGACCC